rnacentral:rRNA from 1 species
CUAGGAUUAGAUACCCUAUUAUUAAAAUUUAAAUUGAAAAUACUAAAAUAGUAGAUAAUUAUUUAUUGAAACUUAAAUAAUUUGGCGGUAUUUUAGUUCAUUUAGAGGAAUCUGUUUAAUAAUUGAUAAUCCACGAAUAAAUUUACUUAAUUUUUUAUUUUGUAUAUCGUUGUUAAAAAAAUAUUUUUUAAUAAUAAUAAUAUUUAAAAAUUUUGAUUAAAAAUUAAAUCAGAUCAAGAUGCAGAUUAUAAUUAAGAAUAUAAUGGAUUACAAUAAAUUUAUUUAGAUGAAUAUUAAUUUGUAAAAGUUAAUUGAAGGUGGAUUUAAA